GCGACAACCGCGCCUACGAGGAGGCCCUUGCCGAGUGCGAGCGCGGGCUCAGGAUCGACGACCCCUCCGACCCGGAGCCCGACUCGCUCAGGCUACCCGCUCCCGACCCCGACCAGCUCCGGGCCGAGCUCCGCAACCUCGUCCAGAAGGCCAAUCUCGCAUCCAUAUCCACCUGGGUCAAGAACCUCGCGCCCGGAUCCGGCCGCGGGACGUCCGGCCACUCCGGAUCCGGUCUCCUCCUCGCCGCACGGGCCUCCUCCUUGCCGGAGUGACGCCCCUCGUCGGAGCAGCGCCGGCCAAGCCCAUCGGCCACCAGGUUCGUGGCCGAUGCUAUGAGGUAAUGGAUAAUGCUGGAUAAUGCUGGAUCGUCGGCACAUUCCCCGGCUCUAGUAAGGCGAUUCGGCCCUCCGGGCAUGGAGCGUCGCGGGUUGCUCAAGGCGGCUCUACUGGCGUGCUUGCUCGUCGUUUGCUCCGGGAGAGGAUAACAACAGUGGAGUGACUUGCAGGUGACUCAUGUGGAAUUUUGUUCAGUAAGAUCGACUUGACGCCUCAUAUUUUAAUUUGGAAAGCGGGACUUGGUUUUAUGUAUUUAGUGGUUCUACAAAUGGUUCUGCUAUGGUUGACAUCACAAUUCUUCUAAUGAGUAGGUAAUUUUAACACCCUCUACUAUUUUAUUGGUGUUCAGUUCUGUAAUACCCAGUUGCGUUGGCUGGCAAGUAUUAUUAGUUUAUAUGAGCCUGUUCAUUUAUACUGAUGUAACUGAUCUGAAAGGAUUGGAGUAGUUUGGAAAAAUAAACUUAAAUGGUGACUCCACAUAUUUUCACAAGGAGGUUAUUACACGCAAUAAAAAGUUCCUCUUAGAGCAUUGCCUUCAGUUCCCCCCUUCUACCAUAUAGUAGUACUGAUUAUAUGUGUCAUCUCGGUAUUAAUUUAGUUGCGACUUUUGCGUAUGCCUUGAGAGUUUUGUAUUUUUCUUCUCAAUUGGUUUCGUUUAGUUACAGCAGUAUGCCAAAUAAUCCAAAAAUAAUUAAUUAAAUCAUUGGACCGGCCGGAUAUAAAGAGCAUGAUUUAUACCAUCAAAUGAACAUAUAUUUUUAUAUGAAAUGAAGGCACAAUCUUAAAUCUGUGGGUGCAUGCACUGCUUCCUGCCUCUGUGCUCGCAAUUUAAAUGCAGUAUAUUUUACUCACUAAUACAUCUUGAAAAAUCUAAAAAGUAUAUUUUACUCACUAAUACAUCCUACAACAUUGCAUUUCACCAAGUGAAAUGCUACAUUUCUAUUCCUAACCCAUUCUCUCUUCCUUAGUGUUUUUGUUAUGCAGGUUGGAAGAAAAGAAGAUCCAGAGAAGAUCUUAGUAAUAAGAUAGUUUUGACUUUGUGAAACUUGCUACCUAUCGAUGAAAUUGUGU